GAUAAUGUUUCUUCAAAAUUUAGCUCAUGGAAAAAACAGAGUGCCAGAAAUGACAAAGAAAAGCAGUUCUCUGUGAACACGAACAAUAUAAAGUGAAAGCUGUGCGUCACAGAACUCAAAUGGCACAAAAUCUAAGAAAUAAAGCCUUUAUAUGGGUUAUAAAUCUAAUAUCAUCCAAAUACAACAGUAAAAUAAAUCAUUUACUUUAUGCAGGGGAAAAUGAAAAAGUUAAGACAAAGAACAAGAAAAGGCGUAAAAAGACUGGUAACAAGAACAAAACUAAACCAGCCUUCCUAAUUUACUUUACUGUCACUUUAUCAGUUGUAAAAAAUCAAAAACUCAGAAAAACAAUCACCCAGCAAAUACAAUGAAUGACCAUUAAUAUGAAAAUUAAAUUACAGAUCUAAAACCAAAAUAAAAAUUGAUUCUUUAAUAGGAAAAAAAAUAUUGGACGAAACAUAUCAUUUAAAACAAGAUCCCCACAACACAAAUAAGAUUAUAUGGUUUCAAAAGAAAGAGUAACUCACUAACCCCAUGAGAUUAACUCUAAGAUUGACUUUAAGCUGAACAAAUAGGUCAUAGAGCUGGCCAAGGUCAGCAGCAUUGCCAUGAGAGUACAGUAGAGUGAGUCUAGCAUAAGGGUUUUUUAAGUAAAAAGCAACGACCUUGUUGCCACGUUUGGUGUCAAUCAACAAAACAUCCAAUGAACUGUCAUCAGCGGCAAGAGGCAUAGGCAUUGAAGAAGAAGAAGAAGCUGAAACCGCAGUGAGCUUGCCAUUGUCACGUUUCUUGACCUGGUAUGUUGGUGGUGAUGGUGGGAAAAAUGCAAACUUUGCAGCUAACUCAGAAAACAUACACCCCAUUCAACAGCCCCAACAAAAUAAAAAAUCAAAAAAACAACCACAACUCAUUGAACAAACAACAAGAAGCCGCUGAAACACAUCGGGGUUUUGCGGCUUGCUUUCAUUUAAGUUGUUUCUUGGGACUGGAGAGAGAGAGAGAGAGAGAGAGACUGUGAGAGAGAGAAAGAGAGAUACUGUCUGUCCAGUGAAGUGUUGAUGGUGGAAAGAGAAAAGAACAGUAGAAAUCUCCUCUAAAGUACAGUGGCUUUUAAUGGCUUUGGUUUUCUUCCUUCACUUGGAAACAGAGUUGAGUUUGAGUGAGUUGAGUUCAUAGGUUCAGUGUUUGUGUGUGCGAGUGUGCAUGACUUCAAUUGUGUCAGUUUGCACAGGCCGGGUCGAUAUAUUUUUCCUCUCAAUCUGCCAAAUCUGCUAACUCACCAUUAUUUAAUUUGGCCAUCUUUUAUGAGUUUUAUGCUUACUCUCUUGCGUCUACAAAAUACCUCCAAACUCGCUUCAGAGUCUAUGAAACCUGUGAAGC
rnacentral:lncRNA from 1 species